rnacentral:rRNA from 1 species
CCCUUAGAUGUUCUGGGCCGCACGCGCGCUACACUGAUUCAUGCAACAAGUUUUGUCCUUGGCUGAUAGGCCUGGGUAAUCUUUGAACGUGAAUCGUGAUGGGGAUAGAUGAUUGCAAUUAUUCAUCUUCAACGAGGAAUUCCUAGUAAACGCAAGUCAUCAGCUUGCAUUGAUUACGUCCCUGCCCUUUGUACACACCGCCCGUCGCACCUACCGAUUGAAUGGUCCGGUGAAAUCUUCGGAUCUGAGAGAUGUCUGAUUAAUUUCGGACACCUUUUGGAAAAGUUGCUUAAACCUUACCAUUUAGAGGAAGGUGAAGUCGUAACA